GGGUCAUUGGGGGAUUGGGCUAAAUUAGAAACCAUGCGCUCUUCUCAUCCAAUGUAUUUUGCCAAAAAGAUUGCUGAGGUUGUGACUGAUGACCCCAUAGAUUUCAUGGACCAGCCUCCUGCAGGUCUUGCUAUACAAGGCCUUCUAAGGCCAUCCUUCCUGGAAGAGCAUACUACGAUUCAAAAGCAGAUAUCUGAAGAUACAUUGAGUGACGCGGACUUAAACCGGAUAGAAAAAGAUGAUGAACACAAAGAAAAUGGUGGUGUUCAAAUAAAUGGCCACAAACAUGAGAGUGGAUCAUCACUAGAGAACCCAAGUUGGGAAGAAUUGGAAAAGGAUGAGAUCUUAGGAAAUGGAACUUCAUUUUACAAG
rnacentral:misc_RNA from 1 species